GGCUGGUUAGCUCAGUCGGUUAGAGCGUGGUGCUGAUAACCCCAAGGCCGUGGGUUCGAUCCCCAUUCGGUCC
rnacentral:tRNA from 1 species